GAUGAACUCUGGCGGCGUGCCUAAUACAUGCAAGUCGAGCGAACAGACGAGGAGCUUGCUCCUCUGACGUUAGCGGCGGACGGGUGAGUAACACGUGGAUAACCUACCUAUAAGACUGGGAUAACUUCGGGAAACCGGAGCUAAUACCGGAUAAUAUAUUGAACCGCAUGGUUCAAUAGUGAAAGACGGUUUUGCUGUCACUUAUAGAUGGAUCCGCGCCGCAUUAGCUAGUUGGUAAGGUAACGGCUUACCAAGGCAACGAUGCGUAGCCGACCUGAGAGGGUGAUCGGCCACACUGGAACUGAGACACGGUCCAGACUCCUACGGGAGGCAGCAGUAGGGAAUCUUGCGCAAUGGGCGAAAGCCUGACGGAGCAACGCCGCGUGAGUGAUGAAGGUCUUCGGAUCGUAAAACUCUGUUAGUAGGGAAGAAAAAAUGUGUAAGUAAAUAUGCACGUGUUGACGGUACCUAAUCAGAAAGCCACGGCUAACUACGUG
rnacentral:rRNA from 1 species